rnacentral:rRNA from 1 species
UGGGGAAUAUUGGACAAUGGGGGAAACCCUGAUCCAGCAAUGCCGCGUGAGUGAUGAAGGCCUUAGGGUUGUAAAGCUCUUUUACCAGGGAUGAUAAUGACAGUACCUGGAGAAUAAGCUCCGGCUAACUCCGUGCCAGCAGCCGCGGUAAUACGGAGGGAGCUAGCGUUGUUCGGAAUUACUGGGCGUAAAGCGCGCGUAGGCGGUCCAUCAAGUCAGAGGUGAAAGCCCGGGGCUCAACCCCGGAACUGCCUUUGAAACUGGAGGACUAGAAUCUUGGAGAGGUCAGUGGAAUUCCGAGUGUAGAGGUGAAAUUCGUAGAUAUUCGGAAGAACACCAGUGGCGAAGGCGACUGACUGGACAAGUAUUGACGCUGAGGUGCGAAAGCGUGGGGAGCAA